GAUGAACGCUGGCGGCGUGCCUAAUACAUGCCAGUCGAGCGAACAGACGAGGAGCUUGCUCCUCUGACGUUAGCGGCGGACGGGUGAGUAACACGUGGAUAACCUACCUAUAAGACUGGGAUAACUUCGGGAAACCGGAGCUAAUACCGGAUAAUAUAUUGAACCGCAUGGUUCAAUAGUGAAAGACGGUUUUGCUGUCACUUAUAGAUGGAUCCGCGCCGCAUUAGCUAGUUGGUAAGGUAACGGCUUACCAAGGCAACGAUGCGUAGCCGACCUGAGAGGGUGAUCGGCCACACUGGAACUGAGACACGGUCCAGACUCCUACGGGAGGCAGCAGUGGGGAAUCUUCCGCAAUGGGCGAAAGCUUGACGGAGCAACGCCGCGUGAGUGAUGAAGGUCUUCGGAUCGUAAAACUCUGUUAUUAGGGAAGAACAAAUGUGUAAGUAACUAUGCACGUCUUGACGGUACCUAAUCAGAAAGCCACGGCUAACUACGUG
rnacentral:rRNA from 1 species